rnacentral:rRNA from 1 species
UAUACAUGCAAGUCGAGCGGACGGAUGGGAGCUUGCUCCCUGAAGUCAGCGGCGGACCGGUGAGUAACACGUGGGCAACCUGCCUGUAAGACUGGGAUAACUUCGGGAAACCGGAGCUAAUACCGGAUAAUGCAUUUCCCCUCAUGGGGAUAUGCUGAAAGAUGGUUUCGGCUAUCACUUACAGAUGGGCCCGCGGCGCAUUAGCUAGUUGGUGAGGUAACGGCUCACCAAGGCAACGAUGCGUAGCCGACCUGAGAGGGUGAUCGGCCACACUGGGACUGAGACACGGCCCAGACUCCUACGGGAGGCAGCAGUAGGGAAUCUUCCGCAAUGGACGAAAGUCUGACGGAGCAACGCCGCGUGAGUGAUGAAGGUUUUCGGAUCGUAAAACUCUGUUGUCAGGGAAGAACAAGUGCCGGAGUAACUGCCGGCACCUUGACGGUACCUGACCAGAAAGCCACGGCUAACUACGUGCCAGCAGCCGCGGUAAUACGUAGGUGGCAAGCGUUGUCCGGAAUUAUUGGGCGUAAAGCGCGCGCAGGCGGUCUCUUAAGUCUGAUGUGAAAGCCCACGGCUCAACCGUGGAGGGUCAUUGGAAA